rnacentral:rRNA from 1 species
AAGCAACGCGAAGAACCUUACCAGGUCUUGACAUCCUCUGACAAUCCUAGAGAUAGGACGUCCCCUUCGGGGGCAGAGUGACAGGUGGUGCAUGGUUGUCGUCAGCUCGUGUCGUGAGAUGUUGGGUUAAGUCCCGCAACGAGCGCAACCCUUGAUCUUAGUUGCCAGCAUUCAGUUGGGCACUCUAAGGUGACUGCCGGUGACAAACCGGAGGAAGGUGGGGAUGACGUCAAAUCAUCAUGCCCCUUAUGACCUGGGCUACACACGUGCUACAAUGGACAGAACAAAGGGCAGCGAAACCGCGAGGUUAAGCCAAUCCCACAAAUC